UGCCUUUUUGUUAAAAUGUACUCUUUAGA
rnacentral:piRNA from 1 species